AUACGGAGGGGGCUAGCGUUGUUCGGAAUUAUUGGGCGUAAAGGGCGCGUAGGCGGCUCAGUAAGUCAGUUGUGAAAUCCCUCGGCUCAACCGAGGAACUGCGACUGAAACUGCUAGGCUUGAGUCCCGGAGAGGGUGGCGGAAUUCCCAGUGUAGCGGUGAAAUGCGUAGAUAUUGGGAGGAACACCGGUGGCGAAGGCGGCUACCUGGACGGGUACUGACGCUGAGGCGCGAAAGCGUGGGGAGCGAACAGGAUUAGAAACCCCAGUAGUCC
rnacentral:rRNA from 1 species